CAGAAACAGUUCUUCUAUGACAUUGUUGUGACCCCCCCAACCCCUCUGGAACCUUUAUUUUUAAGAGUGUUGAGUUCAGAGCAUCACCAGUAAUAGAGAAUUUGAGAUGUAGAGUGUCCUCUUUCUACUCUGGUUCAUGCACCCUGUCUGAACUCCCAGAGCAGCUGCCAUUGGCACAUGUGCCACCUCUGCCGCCCCCUUACCCUGACCUACUGUCCGCACCGACACCCUCCACAUGGGUACCAGCCUGACCCCCUUUCUCUCUCUCUCUGUGAGCUCGUCUUCCUCCGAGACAGUCAGCGGGAGCUUUAGACACAGCCAGCUCUCUUCUUGAACCGGUGCCAAUGGAGGCUGGCCCUGGACGCCACAGCUGAAAGUUUUACAAGCGCUCCGGUCUGAAGGCAGGAAGACAGACUGAGAGAUUUGUAAGAGCAGCUUCUCUUUCUCUAUUCAAUUGCACUCGUGCUUUAUUUAUAUCCGUGUCCCUCUCUCUCUCCCCAAGUUGGGCAUCAAGAAACGGUUCUUUCUUUUCCUCCAGAGAGUUUACAGAGCAAAAGUGGGAGAAAAUGCAACAUGAGGACAGUACUUUGAGAAAUAAAUGGACAAAUAACAAAAGGACGAAAGGGGGGCGCUGACGUCACACACUGUGCUGCCCAUGACAAUGCCUGAAAGGAGAGGAAGACAGGACGAUUGCAAAUCUUUCUCUUUCUUUCUGUCACCAUCUCUGCCCUGUCAGGAAAGGGAUGGCACAAUUUUGGCAGGGUGACACUGGGUGAUUAUUGCACUGGUCUUUCUCCACAGCUGAGCAGGAUAUAGUACAGCGCUACCACAAACUUUCACCACAAGUGCUGUGACAAGACGCUGUCUCGCGCUCUUUGUCCUGGCGCCUCGGGUUUAACUUUCUCACUCUGCCCUCCUGCUUCGGCACAGCAAGAACUCUUUGAAAAGGACUCAAAGUUUUUUAAAAAAGAAGAAGCUUGAAUUGGUUUCACCUGGAAAAGCUGACAGUCGUGGACUUUCUUUCAGGAUCCAGACUCUUAAUUCAAUCUGAACAUGCACAUAGCAAAGGCACUAACAAAAGUUGAUGUGCACGAAUGCCUAUGGAUAAACACCAACGUAUAAUGCAUGAAAUAUGCCGGCAAUGGCAGGACAGCUAAAGAUGCUGCGAAUGAUUUCUGUAAAACAGGAAUCGAAAGGCUUGCCCCUGAGACAGAUGCCAAAUGCUGACAAAAGACUCUUUUGGGAGCCUUAACUCUUUCUUUAAGGAUGUGUGUUAUAUCUUCGACGCAAUUUGACACUCUGAGUAAGUACAUGUACCUUAUAUCAACAUUUUCUGUCGCUGCUUUAAGCCACGCCACGCUUCUGAGAAACAGGUUAAGAUUUUCUUAUUUCGCUUGGUUUUGGACCAAUUCCACUACUUGUCUCUGGGCCCGAGCCAGGUGAUGGUGUUUAGCAUUUCAUGCCAACACCCAUAGAGGUAUUAAACAUGGAGGACUGGCAGCUAAUCCAACAACAACAGACGAAGCCAAAGAGCGAGCCACAAGGUUUUUGCUGAAGUCGCCGCCUUGUUUUCUUUUUCCUUUCUCAUGCUGUUGUGACCUCUCUCUUCGCCUUUCUCUCUCUCUUGGCAGCGGGGCUGAAGUGGGCAGGCAAAUAGGAGGGCAUAGCUGAAUCUGCUCAGCGUUGGCAGGGGUUCCUGUGAGAAGGGCUAUUCGCUCGCACACCUCUCUCUCUGCUUUUCCCCUUGUCUUGCGAGUGACGUGGAAACAGUCUCUCCUCUUCUUUCUUCUUCCCUGCUGUUUUGUUUUUUUCGGUCGUCGUACAGUACACUUUUUACCCCAUCCAGAGUCUACCGCGACAUCCCAUGAAAAGCUCUCGCUCAGGUACUUCCAGCAUUUGAUUUUUGGUUGAAUGCUUAUUUUUCAUUUUUAACUUUCUUUUGUUGCAGUAAUGUCGUUUUGCUCCGACUUUCGCUGCUCCUCAUCCUCAUCUUCCUCCAGCACGUGUCGUUUAUCUGCCGCCGCCAUGAUAACGCGAGUUUUGUUUCUGUCUGAUGAGACAUUAACAUUUUUUUUUCAUAAAGAAUAAAUAUUUUUAGAUAAACUCCAAAUGUGUUCGAGCAAUAGUAAUGGGUGCGAGUGAUUUUGCUUAGUUUUAUUUGCUUUGUUUGUCUUGCGACAGUGCAUGACCACUGUUUCUUUUCAUGCAACCUGUUUGCAUAAUAGCUUUAAAAAAUGUUUUGAGAGGCUAUACAAACAUGCGGUUUGCUAUUUACAGUACGGCAGAGGGUAAAUAUGUUCUUUUUUGCUAAGUCGCAUGUCUGAGGCCUUCAAAACAAAGAGUAGCGCUUUACCUGCCAAACUAUGCCAGGAGAAGAAAAUUAACCCUACAAUCUAACUAACACUGAUGCAAAAAGCUUCAUAAUCGUUGUUUGUUAUUUCUAGGUUGGCUGAUAAGUGGUACACCACAUACAAAUCUAUUCUUCCUCCUAGUCUACCAUAUCUGAAGGAACUGAGCCUUAUGAUGUGACUAAGACUGAGAAGAAUAGCAAAAGAAUGAGACUCUCAAAUGAUAUAUAUAUAUAAUAAUACAAAUAAUAGUAAAACACACACUUGAUGUGUUUUUGUUUCAUCUACGAUUGAACUGAAAACACAUUUGGAGAUUAUUUAUGCCAUUUUGAUUAUAUAUUACAUUUGCAUUCCAAAGCAGCUCACAUUUUGUUUGCCAAACUACUUUUAGUUCAUUGACACAGCCAACAAAGAGUUGUAAUUUUUUUGGAGACGAUGAAACUAUUGUAAAUGAAAACUGCCCUGAACACUGUACAAAGAGGAAACAGAGUAAGAAAAAAGGCAGUAAGGAGGUGGGCGGAGUCAUAGACGAAAAAAAAUGAAAACACUUCCUCCACCCCUCCUUCACUAUCCUCAGAUGAACUUGUCACGUUACUUGAUUUUUUUUUUUUUCUGGCCUGCCCUCUCUACUUCCUGCUAUUUUUGUGCUGCCUCCCUCGCUCCCUCUUUCUCUCUGUGUGUCAGUGUGGUAACAAAGUCACAGACCUGUUAUCGGGAAAAAUAUUUUGGUAAUCACCUGCAAUUCUGAAGCAAUAACACCACAAACAGCAUCACAUUACGGAGAAAAAGAGCCUUUUGGAUAUCAGCCGAACCCUGGGACAUCCAGCUGCCUGACACUCACCAGAGCAGAUUCGGUGAAGAAACUAAAUCAACGGCGUGUCUGUAUCUGCCCUUAAAGCUGAGGUAGUAGAUUGAAUAGUUGUGGAGUAUAAAACCUCCCUUUGAGAUAACUAUACAAUCUACUGUCUUUCUUACGGAGGCAGAUUAACCAGCUGUCUACUGAAGAAACUGCGGGAAACACUUAUGUUUUCAGUGACUUCAUUCUUAAUUCUACUCCAUUCUGACCUGUGUGUCUCUACAAGCUGAGGUAGUAGGUUGUAUAGUUUGUGGGAAGGAUCUCAUCCUCUUCAGGUGAUAACUAUACAGUCUAUUGCCUUCCUUGAGAGACACAGCGAGCGACAGUAGAAACACAUCAUUCUGAACACCAAGAGAUCUUUAACCGGUCUGUACUUGUAAAUGUUAAAAGAACAACUUUUAUUUAUAUUCUAUUUCAUUUGUUAAUAUGAUUUAUUUUUAUUUUAAAUUUCAGAAUGUCUUUUUGUAUCCUGCUAUACUGCAAAUGUAUUGGCAAUGCACAGUUUUUGUCAUCCUAAUAAAGCACAUUAAAAUGA